CUCUCGCGAAAAUAAGUAGAUGCGGCGGCGACGACACCGGCGCCGCCAAGGACAGAGGGCCAGCCCAACCGGAGAAGAAGGCAGCGGCGGGCUUCCUCCUUGCAUCCCCCUCCCCCAUCCUACCGGAGGCACCACAUCCAACCUCAGCGGCGUGAGCGUGUCGGUGGCCAGGAGUGGCGACAGCAACGACCCGCCGCCGGCGUGCUUCUUCCCCGACGUUGGACUGGAUCUGAAAUGAAUAGCCCCAAUGCAGCGCUGGAAUUUUGUUGGCGAGGGCGAGUAUGGAGGUGAACAAGUGUAGGCUCAUGUGUCCCAUGUCAGACAUGUGAAGUAAUAAGAUCAGCAUCCUUGAUGCAAAAUGGACAUUUUUCAAACCUUCACUAGUUGAAGACGUCAAGCCAUGGAGGUACCACUCUGGCAACAUCGACAUGCAGCUGCGACAUGAAGCUCUAGAGCAUCAAGGUCGUGUCGUGCAAUGACUGCAUCCUCAUUUUGGAGCGAUACACGACGGUGCACCAUUGCCGAACCGUCGGUGGUGGACGAUCAGGAUGCACUAGCUGAACUCCGUGCUCGUGGCAGCAUACUCGCCGGGCAUCAGCGCCGGUGGAAGGAGGUGUGCCAGGGAGGUCCGGAAGGUGAUGUUCAAUGGCAAAGGUGAACUGAAAGAA